UAAUACGUAGGGUGCAAGCGUUAAUCGGAAUUACUGGGCGUAAAGCGUGCGCAGGCGGUUAUGCAAGACAGAUGUGAAAUCCCCGGGCUCAACCUGGGAACUGCAUUUGUGACUGCAUGGCUAGAGUACGGCAGAGGGGGAUGGAAUUCCGCGUGUAGCAGUGAAAUGCGUAGAUAUGCGGAGGAACACCGAUGGCGAAGGCAAUCCCCUGGGCCUGUACUGACGCUCAUGCACGAAAGCGUGGGGAGCAAACAGGAUUAGAUACCCUGGUAGUCCACGCCCUAAACGAUGUCAACUGGUUGUUGGGAGGGUUUCUUCUCAGUAACGUAGCUAACGCGUGAAGUUGACCGCCUGGGGAGUACGGCCGCAAGGUUGAAACUUAAAUGAAUUGACGG
rnacentral:rRNA from 1 species